AUACAACACAAGUUGGCUUAACGCCUACUUGUUUUUCAAGGUCUAGUGCUAACGUUAUUGCUUUCCUGAAGCUUGUGGUCGAUAAGUAGAUGUUUAGGUUCCUAUUUCUCAUUCAGGGCAGAAUCCUUGGGCAAUUUUCAUUUGACACCCAGAUUAUGUAAAUCAUAAAAAUCAUUUUAAUAUAAAAUAUAAAAAUAAAACCUAAUUUGGUAUUUGACAUAUUAUCAUUGGCCAGUAUUUGCUGAAAGCCAUUACAGUACACCCGUGAGCAUCCCACCACUAUAGAAGCUAUUAUUUCACCUUAAGUCAUAUUUCAUCCAGACCUUAAGUUUAUACUCUAACUGCUAAACACGUUUAUUGCUUCACAAAUAUCAGAAAAUAGUUUGUUCUCAAAUAAGCUGAUUAGUAAUUAACAAAGUAAAUUUGUGAGUAUUCCACUCGUUUGGGUAAUAUAUUUUAGAAAAUUUGGCUAAUCAACAUUUUUGUCCUUCAGCAAAUGUAACAUCAGUUAAUGAACUUGGCUAUAAGGACUUUAUACGUAACAAAUGAACAACUUAUUAAUUGAAUAAUUAUUUUCUGGGGAAUAAGGAAGGAGUUUAUCUUCUUCAUGGUAAUAUAAAUUAUUUAUUUUAAACAAUAAAUCAAUAUAGUGCACAGUAUCAGAAAAUAUGUUGUUACACUAUGU
rnacentral:lncRNA from 1 species